UGCCGGUGACAAACCGGAGGAAGGUGGGGAUGACGUCAAAUCAUCAUGCCCCUUAUGAUUUGGGCUACACACGUGCUACAAUGGACAAUACAAAGGGCAGCGAAACCGCGAGGUCAAGCAAAUCCCAUAAAGUUGUUCUCAGUUCGGAUUGUAGUCUGCAACUCGACUACAUGAAGCUGGAAUCGCUAGUAAUCGUAGAUCAGCAUGCUACGGUGAAUACGUUCCCGGGUCUUGUACACACCGCCCGUCACACCACGAGAGUUUGUAACACCCGAAGCCGGUGGAGUAACCUUUUAGGAGCUAGCCGUCGAAGGUGGGACAAAUGAUUGGGGUGAAGUCGUAACAAGGUAGCCGUAUCGGAAGGUGCGGCUGGAUCACCUCCUUUCUAAGGA
rnacentral:rRNA from 1 species